CACGUAGGCACCAAGCGUUGUCCGGAUUUAUUGGGCGUAAAGAGCGUGUAGGCGGCCGCACAGGUCCGUUGUGAAAACUGGAGGCUUAACCUUCAGACGUCGAUGGAAACCGUGCGGCUAGAGUCCGGAAGAGGAGAAUGGAAUUCCUGGUGUAGCGGUGAAAUGCGCAGAUAUCAGGAAGAACACCCGUGGCUAAGGCGGUUCUCUAGUACGGUACUGACGCUGAGACGCGAAAGCGUGGGGAGCGAACAGG
rnacentral:rRNA from 1 species